GCUUUACAAGGAGAACCUGUAGUAUAAUGAGACUUAAACAGAGAAGAUUACUAUGGGCCUUGUACAAGGAUAACAUACAAAUUUAUGAGACAUUCUAUAGCAAA